GGGAAUGUGGCUUAGUGGUAGAGUAAUUGCCUAGCAUGCAUGAAGCCCUGGGUUCAAUUCCUCACUACCA
rnacentral:tRNA from 1 species